UUGCCAUUCAGAUGAAUUAGACAAUCGCAGAAAGCUCUGCAACAAAUCUGCCAAAAGUAAAUUUGCCCUAAAUGAAUAGAACAGCCUUCAGAAUCUACAAUCCACAAUGGGCUUCCUUUCUUCCCGCACGCUGAAUGGCAUUUAUGGGAGUAUCACAUACUUAUCACAUUAUGUUGCUUCGUACUGAGCCAGAUAAACGUCAAAUAAAACAAGUCUAAUAAAACGUUAAUAGCAUCGGAGAUGCACAAGAGCCUCCUGGUGACCACAGACAUUUGGUUCUUCCAGAGAGAAGAAUUGAAGAAAUAUAACAUUUUCCUGGCGACAAACUCAGCAUAAUAAACAACGGUGGAUGUACACAGAUUCCUGCAGCAGAACAGAGGGCUUUCAUUACGGAUCUGCGACUGGUUUUCCAUCCGUGUUACAUCACUCAGUCUUAAGAAGACUUUGAUAAAUGACUCUGCCGCUGUGCAAGGUGUGCCUCUGUGAGGUACCAGAUCCUGAUGUUAUCCAGGUCCCCCGCUCGGAGCAGAUCACAAGGAACUCACAAUGCAGAGUUUUAAUGUCUUCAAGGUAGUUUGUUUUUUGGAGAAGGAAGGAACGUCAUUGAAAAUGUUAUUGGAAAUCCGUGGCAACAGCGUUACUGGGAGCUUAUAACGGAAUGAUUUCUCAGGGUCUGUGGCUUUGGAACCAGCAAGUAUGACUUUGGAACCAGCAAGUAUGGAAAAAUCAGUUUCUUUCUUUAUUGAUUGUCCGGCAUUAAAA